GCACAGGUGCGAAGGCUGUCUGCUUGUGAGACAAUGGGUUCUGCAACAACAAUUUGUAGUGAUAAGACUGGAACACUAACUUUAAAUCAGAUGACUGUGGUUGAGGCAUAUGUUGGCAAAAAGAAGAUGACUCCACCGUAUGACCCUGCAUAGUUGCCAUCGGUUACUUCUGCACUACUGAUUGAGGGUAUAGCACAGAAUACAACGGGAAAUGUUUUUGUGCCAAAGGGUGGUGGAGAUGCAGAGAUCACUGGAUCUCCUAUAGAAAAUGCUAUCCUUUCUUGGGCAUUGAAG